rnacentral:rRNA from 1 species
AGCGAACGCUGGCGGCAUGCCUAACACAUGCAAGUCUGACGGGCCUGGGGCUUGCUCCAGGUCAGUGGCGGACGGGUGAGGAACGCGUAGGAACGUAUCCAAGGGUGGGGAUAACCGCGGGAAACUGCGGCUAAUACCGCAUGGGGCCUAAGGGCCAAAGGCUGAGGGAAACCUUGGUCGCCGAUGGAGCGGCCUGCGUCCGAUUAGCUCGUUGGUGGGGUGACGGCUUACCAAGGCUACGAUCGGUAGCUGGUCUGAGAGGAUGAUCAGCCACACUGGGACUGAGACACGGCCCAGACUCCUACGGGAGGCAGCAGUGGGGAGUAUUGGACAAUGGGCGAAAGCCUGAUCCAGCAAUGCCGCGUGGGUGAAGAAGGUCUUCGGAUU